GUUGACCUCGGAUCAGGUAGGAAUACCCGCUGAACUUAAGCAUAUCAAUAGCGGAAGGAAA
rnacentral:rRNA from 1 species